GAUGAACGCUGGCGGCGUGCCUAAUACAUGCAAGUCGAACGCUGGAAAUCUAGCUUGCUAGAUUGAAGGAGUGGCGAACGGGUGAGUAAUACAUAAGCAACCUACCCACGAAGACUGGGAUAAUCUCUGGAAACGGGGACUAAUACCGGAUAGGUAAUCGGAAGGCAUCUUCUGAUUAUUAAAGGUUAAAAACACUGGUGGAUGGGCUUAUGGCGCAUUAGUUAGUUGGUGAGGUAACGGCCCACCAAGACGAUGAUGCGUAGCCGGCCUGAGAGGGUGAACGGCCACAUGGGGACUGAGACACUGCCCAGACGCCUACGGGAGGCAGCAGUAGGGAAGUGGCGGCAAGGGGGGAAACCCUGACCGAGCAACGCCGCGUGAGUGAGGACGGCCUUCGGGUUGUAAAGCUCUGUUGUAAGGGAAGAACGGUAGAUAGAGAAUAUCUAAAUGACGGUACCUUAACAGAAAGCCACGGCUAACUACGUG
rnacentral:rRNA from 1 species